AACAGAAACAAGUGGGACCAGAGGAGCUCCGUGGUGACACCCGUGGAGGACGUGUUUUAUUUGGUGGCGUUUCUAAGAUCAGCUCUGGAUGAUGGAGAGGAGACCCACACCUUGGAGUACCUGAGCAAUCAGAACCGUCAGAUCCUCAGAUUCUGUGAUGAUGCAGGCAUCAAGGUGAAGCAAUAUUUGCCUCACUACACCACUCAGCAAGAGUGGGUGGACCACUUUGGGGAUAAGUGGUCCCAGUUUUACCAGAACAAGAUGGAAUUUGAUCCCCGGCGCAUUUUAGCAACUGGCCAACGUAUAUUCAUGCCCUCCUUUGUUGCCGCUUCAUCAUCAUCUUCUUCUUUUAGUACCGUGGGCCCAUGGUGAUGAGCGAUGACACAUGCGGAUAUUUUUUUUACUUACAGUACACCUUAUAAUAGAAUAUACUGAAUUAGGAAUAUUCUUGUACAUAAUGGCAAAAUGGGAAUUCGAAAUAGUUGAUAGCUUUUGAGCAGCAAUACAACCGGCC
rnacentral:misc_RNA from 1 species